rnacentral:ncRNA from 1 species
CUUCACUCAUCGGGGUGCUACCAGACUUUUCAUUAGAGAGUCAUAGUGGCUGAGAUAACACCCGUAAUAACUUGAACCAGAUAAUGCUGGCAUAGGAAUGAGAUUCGACCAACU